rnacentral:rRNA from 1 species
UACGUAGGGGGCUAGUGUUGUCCGGAAUCAUUGGGCGUAAAGAGCGUGUAGGCGGCCCGGUAAGUCCGCUGUGAAAGUCGGGGGCUCAACCCUCGAAUGCCGGUGGAUACUGUCGGGCUAGAGUGCGGAAGAGGCGAGUGGAAUUCCUGGUGUAGCGGUGAAAUGCGCAGAUAUCAGGAGGAACACCAAUUGCGAAGGCAGCUCGCUGGGACGUUACUGACGCUGAGACGCGAAAGCGUGGGGAGCAAACAGG